rnacentral:rRNA from 1 species
AAAUCGUACCCCAAACCGACACAGGUGGUCAGGUAGAGAAUACCAAGGCGCUUGAGAGAACUCGGGUGAAGGAACUAGGCAAAAUGGUGCCGUAACUUCGGGAGAAGGCACGCUGAUAUGUAGGUGAAGUCCCUGCGGACGGAGCUGAAAUCAGUCGAAGAUACCAGCUGGCUGCAACUGUUUAUUAAAAACACAGCACUGUGCAAACACGAAAGUGGACGUAUACGGUGUGACGCCUGCCCGGUGCCGGAAGGU